UUUCUAAAUUUUUAACUCUUGUAACAUUUUUAACUUUUUAAACGUUUAACUUAAAAUGCUCACUUUCUAAAUUUUUAACUCUUGUAACAUUUUUAACUUUUUAAACUUUUAACUUAAAAUGUUUCACUUUCCAAAUUUUUAACUUUUGAAACUUUUACAUUUUUUAAACUAUCUUAGACGAGUUAAGGGGAGACUUUUUAACGUUUUACGUGUUUUUAUUUCUGAUUUUAGUUAUAGAAAGGCCUUUUAAACUUUUUUUUUUGAAUUGUUUUUCACAUUAAUUACUUCAUUUUUUUAUGUAUUAUAUUUUUUCUACGUCAUAAUCGUGAGGCGACAACAGAAAACAGACGAAGUAAGUUUCUCAUCAUUAGACAUGUUUUAUCUUUCUUUCAAAAGACACUAAAUGCUGCUAUUUCACUCUUCUGUAUUUUAACAGUUCAUUUUAUGUGGCGAAAGCAGCUCAUCCACAGUCCACUGACCAAAGACAUCCUCUCUUCGGCCAUGUACCAGCCAAAUGCCGCCUUAAGUCCAGGAAAAGUUUUCCGAAAAGUGUCCCACCCCUCAGAACGCCGAACACAGGCAGUGAAAGAGUCACUCGGCGGGAAGAAAGACUUGACAAUCUUCCACCAGAAACUACAAUGGAGCUUAAAGCAAGCGAGGCAAUGACCCCAGGAGCAGACACCAACUAUGUAUGCAACGUGGAAAUGCCUAAAUAGACUAAGAUCUGGUGUUGGACGUGCAAAAGUCACUCUCGCCAAAUGGGGACAUCUGGAGGAUCGGAACAGCGAGUGUGACUGUGGCACUGAACCACAGACCAUGCAACACCUCCUCAUGUGCCCCUGCUGGAACAUCCCUGCACAGCAUCGAAUUUAGCAGAGUUUAACGAGAAGGGACAGAAAUGUGUUCAGCUGUGGCUCAACCACAUCUAGCCAAGCCUGUAACUAACUGCCUUGUAGCCACCAUAAGAAGAAGCUCAUCCCAGAAUCGAGGCCAGAGGUAGCCAUGACAUAUUACUUUAUUGUAAUAGGGCAACAGUUUCAAGAACACCUGUACAAGGGAGGCCUGCAUCAUGGAACACAAACUCCCAAACACACAUGACUUCUCCUGCUUCUUCUCACAGCGAGAGCCACGCAUUUCAAGAAGACUUGUACAAGGGAGGCCUGCAUCAUGGAACACAAACUCCCAAACACACAUGACUUCUCCUGAUUCUUCUCACAGCGAGAGCCACGCAUUUCAAGAAGACUUGUACAAGGGAGGCCUGCAUCAUGGAACACAAACUCCCAAACACACAUGACUUCUCCUGCUUCAUCUUAUGUUCCUGGGUCUUGCCUGUGGUUCUACAUGCAUCCAGUCAUGCAGACAGAGAACACCUUAGCCUUUAACUGUCGGAAGCUGUCCCUCUGCGAGGCCUCAUAGUAUAGUCUGUUUUCUGUUCUCAUUCAUUCAUUCAUUCAUU